GCGCCCAUAGCUCAAUGGAUAGAGUACCGGACUUCGAAUCCGUAGGUUGCAGGUUCGACCCCUGCUGGGCGCA
rnacentral:tRNA from 1 species